CUGUGAAUUUAUUUGCUGCUAUGUUUAUGGUAUCCAGGCUCCUGCAUUUGGAUAAUACUGCCAGGAAAUCGAGAUUCCCUGAGAGCUGAUUCCCAAAGACAUAGAUGCGACGGAGAUUCAGCAAAUUUUGAAAUGACACUGGCCUAGAAACCUAAGGUUGCUCAGUUUCCCCAAUUCUGGUGGAAUUCCCCCCUCUAGAUUGUUCUCACUGAGGUCCAACACAAGAAGCUCGGUAUUGUUGCUUAGCUCAAUAGGAAUCUUGCCAGUAAGGUCAUUCAUUGACAAGGAUAUUGUGGUGAGGUUUGGCAGUGUUGCCAACCAUGGUGGUACAGUACCAGUAAAAUUAUUUCCUGAAAGGGAGAGCUGUUCAAGGUUCUUACAGGCAGAGAGUCCCAAUGGGAUAGGCCCACUGAAUUGGUUUUCUGGGAGGGAGAGCACUUGCAGCAUAGGGAGGUGAAAGUUCCUGUUUCCGGGAAUCGGACCUGAGAGAUUGUUCCGUCCAACAUAUAGUAACUGCAGCUGGGACAUAUUGAAAAGAGAAGGCGGCAUGGAGCCUGAGAGAAAAUUUUUUUCUAGGACCAGAAUCUCCAGCUUUAGCAAUGAGCUGACACUAUCAGGAAUUGCUCCUGUCAGCCUAUUCACUCCAAGAUAUAUGCUACUCAAAUUUGGUGCGUUGUUGAACAAGCCCUCCGGAAUUGGUCCGCUCAGAUCAUUGCCUUGCAAUCUUAACAUAAGAAGGCUGUGCAAAUUUUGCAACUCGUGUGGGAUCCCCCCAACGAAGUUAUUCCAAGCAAGAUCAAGCAUCUCAAGCCUAGUAAGGUUGCCAAGGAUGCGAGGGAUGGUACCUGACAAGCUGUUGUAAGAAAGAUCAAGAGUUUGAAGCCAUGGCAAACUACCAAGCUCGUUCGGCACGGUACCCAUGACGCUGGUGUUGCUGAGGACCAGGGUCGAGAGGGAAGAGAGAUUGCCAAGCUCUGGCGCGAUGCUGCCCUGGAGCGGCACGUCGCUGAACUCCAGGCCGGUGACGCGCUGACUGCGGUCACACGAGACGCCGGCCCACGAGCAGAAGGAAGCGGUCGGAGUCCAGUUGCUCGCAAGGAUGCCAAAGGGGUCCUUGAGCUGUGCCUUGAAGGCGAGCAGCGCAGCAAGGUCUGUGGUAUUCGGUGUUGGGGUGAGUGCGGUGGCGCAUGUCGUUGUGCUCAGGAGGAAGAGGAGCACCACGCGGAUGAAGAAGAAGAAGAAGAAGAAGAAGAAGAAGGCCAUUUUUUGGUGGAGAGGCAAAGAUCAGUCGACAGAUAUGGAUGUGUGGUGUGCUUGACUGCUCCUCUUAUAAUUAGCAGUCUCUCAAGUAGCCGGGACGAAACGAGCUGAAACCUACUUGUACUUGUUUUUCUGACGAGGCAUUGCAUAUGCGCAGUUUGUUGAGUAUGGUCAACGCGUUUCCUCUUUUACCCACAUGCUAGUACUAUAUGGUCCAAAGCAGGAAAAAAAAAUCGCUGAUUGCAUCUUCUCCAUGGUCCUGAUCCAGUGCUAACAAGAACAAGAAGGGGACCAAGAAAAGCAUAUCAAUUGCUCCUGAAAUUUGCCAUCUGGAGGGGUCAAUUUGAGAUCAUCCGGCAUCUACACUGAUGACGGGAACACACGGGGAGGUCUUGGUCAGGCUGACCCUGAAAGGUUCCGCACGCGUUCAGAUUCAGCACACUAGCACGCCACUCCACAUCAUGGAGGAGUCAACAUGCACAGUCGUCGAUCGAGCUGGAGAUCCUUGGAGGUCAGCAGAUCUGACCAAGUGACCAUCGUAUCCGAGGGAGGCAGAAAGCAACAGCGUGCGUGUUACGGGUGCAACUUCUCCUCGAGUCCCCGUGGGUGGCCGGCCCAUUGUUUCUCUAGUUGGUAGGCUGCUGACCUGUGCUGUCUUGUUCUGUUGCUAGGGUUGUUGGUCGCGGCUGAAAUUGUUCGGCGGUGCUCCCAACUUGCGUC